GCUUGUCUCAAAGAUUAAGCCAUGCAUGUCUAAGUAUAAACGAUUUUAUACGUGAAACUGCGAAUGGCUCAUUAUAUCAGUUAUAGUUUAUUUGAUGGUCCUUACUACUUGGAUAACCGUAGUAAUUCUAGAGCUAAUACAUGCAUCAAGCCCUGACUUCGGAAGGGGUGUAUUUAUUAGAUCCAACCAGCCCGGUUCGCCGGAGUCCCUGGUGAGUCAUAAUAACUGAGCGAAUCGCAUGGCCUUGUGCCGGCGAUGGUUCAUUCAAGUUUCUGCCCUAUCAGCUUUCGAUGGUAGGGUAUUGGCCUACCAUGGCGUUAACGGGUAACGGAGAAUUAGGGUUCGAUUCCGGAGAGGGAGCCUGAGAAACGGCUACCACAUCCAAGGAAGGCAGCAGG
rnacentral:rRNA from 1 species